CUUUACACUGGCUGUCUCCUAAACUGGAAUUAGUGUAGUUGUGUCUGAGCAGUGCCUAAGGAAGGCUAAUUGGCAUGUGAAUCAGCAAUACUAAUUAGAUUAUCCAAAGUGAUGUUCAAAUGCAGCUAUGCUGUUUUCAGUUUAGGAGCAGCCUGUCUCAGGCAGCACAGUAUGCUUGCCAAUUUCACUACUGAUAUGAGAGGAAAUUGAGAACUCUGAUACAGGGUGGAAGGGGAAAAGGAGUGUAUGUAGAGCCCUCAAUAUGGGGGAGGGAGUUGCUGAAAGUCCUUGAAAUAGAGGGGAGUAGAAGGUUGUCACACAGAAGCUAGCCCUCGGUAACAGAGACUUCCAGGGAGUUCCUGAUAUGCAUGGUGAGCUUGGUUCACAAAGUAUGCAGAUCACCAAAUUACAGAGUAUACAUGCAUCAUACAUCAGAGUGAUGAAGAGUGGGUGUUGUUCUGGUUUGCUUAUGCUAUGCAUUUGGAAGAGCCCAGUUGUCUGCAAGGCUGGCCAACAUGAGAGACUGAUUUUCAGCAGCUGGAUUUGCAUCUCCCUGCUCCCAAAGCCUGUUGAAGCCCACACCAGGUCCAACUGAAGCCAGAGGAGGAAAGUGUACAGCCUGAUCAGGUGUGCAAGCAGCCAUGUUGUUUGUGUCACUUUUGGAGAUGCUACUCUGAAGUAGAAAGCUAGAAAUUAAGCAGCAGAUUCAGCAGGUCCUUGAGGACAUGUGCAGUCUGUUAGGGUGAGUCUGAAUUUUGAGCAAUUAUUAUCUAAA
rnacentral:lncRNA from 1 species